rnacentral:lncRNA from 1 species
CUUAACUGUAAGGAUUUGUUUAAGUUUGUCACUGUUUGUCGGACCACUUAAGUAUAUCUUGAAGUUCCAGCAUAGCUCUGGUAUGUUUAAAUGGCUUUCUGAACAGAGAUGAAUGGAAGUCUACACUUAACAGGUAUCAUUGCCGGAAAAGUUGAGUUCUGCACAAAACACAUUCAACUCAGUGGAACAAUAAUACAAAGGAAGAAUGGCACCAUAGAGAAAAUGAGUCAGGCAUAACCUUUCAGUACCAGAGGACUUGACUAUUCACUCCCAUUGCACCUGCAGUAUAACCAGUAAAGGCUCGUGGAAGAUAUUACUGUUUUCAAAACACAUCUUGUGUACAGGUAUCUUGAGAUAGUACCUCAUAUGUCAGGGAGAAAAUGCAGCAGUAGUGCAUUUCGCCAAUGCACAGGACGUAAAGGCUGACUGGACCACGGCCAAACAGCCUUGGCACAAAUGUCACAGGUAAUCCUGAAGACCCUGGCACAAGUUUUGCAGCCACGUGUCAGUACUGCAGUGUUACCAGCAUAUUCUUCAACAGUCAGCAUACAAACACAUACAGAGCCUUAUUAAUAUUCUUGAUCCUUUAUAACAAUGUUGUUUUGGACAAACAGGAGUGGAUGUCUGUGUGCAUUUCAGCAUCCCAAAGAGAUGCAUAAAUGAAGCCUGCUCUACAAGUUCUUAUUUCUCAUCAGGUAGAUCCAGAGGGAAACAACAGAGGAAGGGACAGACUUGACCCCCUCAUUUUAUGAUGCUGGAAUUUCUUACAAGAGGAACUGUGAUACUACAAUCUUCUUCAAAUUGUGUUCUGGAGCAUGCGACUUGGCGAUGAGCACUGACUGAUAUUACACUUGCAUUAUUUACAACUCCUUAAAAGGCUGGUUUCAAUUAUUCUUUUAGUUACUAUGGCAAUCUAGGAGACCUUUUCAGCCUCCAGCUUUUCUGAGUGAGGAAUGAACUGUUGCUUCAAAGCAAUUUCAAUAUUGCUACAGGAG